UACGUAGGGUGCAAGCGUUAUCCGGAAUUAUUGGGCGUAAAGAGCUCGUAGGCGGUUUGUCGCGUCUGCUGUGAAAACCGGAGGCUCAACCUCCGGCCUGCAGUGGGUACGGGCAAACUAGAGUGCGGUAGGGGAGAUUGGAAUUCCUGGUGUAGCGGUGAAAUGCGCAGAUAUCAGGAGGAACACCGGUGGCGAAGGCGGGUCUCUGGGCCGAAACUGACGCUGAGGAGCGAAAGCGUGGGGAGCAAACAGG
rnacentral:rRNA from 1 species